GCCUGGGUGGCUCAGUCGGUUGAGCGUCCGACUUCGGCUCAGGUCAUGAUCCUUCGGUUUGUGGGUUCGAGCCCCGUGUCGGGCU
rnacentral:tRNA from 1 species